AGUGAACGCUGGCGGUAGGCCUAACACAUGCAAGUCGAACGGCAGCACAGUAAGAGCUUGCUCUUACGGGUGGCGAGUGGCGGACGGGUGAGGAAUACAUCGGAAUCUACUUUUUCGUGGGGGAUGACGUAGGGAAACUUACGCUAAUACCGCAUACGACCUACGGGUGAAAGCAGGGGAUCUUCGGACCUUGCGCGAUUGAAUGAGCCGAUGUCGGAUUAGCUAGUUGGCGGGGUAAAGGCCCACCAAGGCGACGAUCCGUAGCUGGUCUGAGAGGAUGAUCAGCCACACUGGAACUGAGACACGGUCCAGACUCCUACGGGAGGCAGCAGUGGGGAAUAUUGGACAAUGGGCUCAAGCCUGAUCCAGCCAUACCGCGUGGGUGAAGAAGGCCUUCGGGUUGUAAAGCCCUUUUGUUGGGAAAGAAAAGCAGCAGGUUAAUACCCCGCUGUUCUGACGGUACCCAAAGAAUAAGCACCGGCUAACUUCGUG
rnacentral:rRNA from 1 species